GAUAAACGCUAGCGACAGGCCUAACACAUGCAAGUCGAGGGGCAGCAUGAAAUUAGCUUGCUAGUUUUGAUGGCGACCGGCGCACGGGUGAGUAACACGUAUGCAACCUGCCUGUAAGCGGGGGAUAACCCGGAGAAAUUCGGACUAAUACCGCAUAAUAUCAUUGAUUCGCAUGUUUCAAUGAUUAAAAAUUUAUUGCUUACAGAUGGGCAUGCGUAUGAUUAGCUAGUUGGCGGGGUAACGGCCCACCAAGGCGACGAUCAUUAGGGGUUCUGAGAGGAAGGUCCCCCACAUUGGAACUGAGACACGGUCCAAACUCCUACGGGAGGCAGCAGUGAGGAAUAUUGGUCAAUGGACGCAAGUCUGAACCAGCCAUGUCGCGUGAAGGAUGACUGUCCUAUGGAUUGUAAACUUCUUUUAUAUGGGGAUAAAGUGUAAGACUUGUCUCAUUUUGCAUGUACCAUAUGAAUAAGCAUCGGCUAACUCCGUGCCAGCAGCCGCAGUAAAAC
rnacentral:rRNA from 1 species